rnacentral:rRNA from 1 species
CAGUAGCCGCGGGAAUACGUAGGGUGCGAGCGUUAAUCGGAAUUACUGGGCGUAAAGCGUGCGCAGGCGGUUCGUUAAGACAGAUGUGAAAUCCCCGGGCUUAACCUGGGAACUGCAUUUGUGACUGGCGAGCUAGAGUAUGGCAGAGGGAGGUAGAAUUCCACGUGUAGCAGUGAAAUGCGUAGAGAUGUGGAGGAAUACCGAUGGCGAAGGCAGCCCCCUGGGCCAAUACUGACGCUCAUGCACGAAAGCGUGGGGAGCAAACAGGAUUAGAUACCCCAGUAGUCCCUGUCUCUUAUAC